rnacentral:rRNA from 1 species
GAGUUUGAUCCUGGCUCAGAUUGAACGCUGGCGGCAGGCCUAACACAUGCAAGUCGAGCGGUAGAGAGAAGCUUGCUUCUCUUGAGAGCGGCGGACGGGUGAGUAAUGCCUAGGAAUCUGCCUGGUAGUGGGGGAUAACGCUCGGAAACGGACGCUAAUACCGCAUACGUCCUACGGGAGAAAGCAGGGGACCUUCGGGCCUUGCGCUAUCAGAUGAGCCUAGGUCGGAUUAGCUAGUUGGUGAGGUAAUGGCUCACCAAGGCGACGAUCCGUAACUGGUCUGAGAGGAUGAUCAGUCACACUGGAACUGAGACACGGUCCAGACUCCUACGGGAGGCAGCAGUGGGGAAUAUUGGACAAUGGGCGAAAGCCUGAUCCAGCCAUGCCGCGUGUGUGAAGAAGGUCUUCGGAUUGUAAAGCACUUUAAGUUGGGAGGAAGGGCAGGUAAAUUAAUACUUUGCUGUUUUGACGUUACCGACAGAAUAAGCACGGCUAACUCUGUGCUAGCACG